rnacentral:sRNA from 1 species
GUUGGGCAUGGUGGUGCAUGCCUGUAAUUCCAGUGGCGUGGGAAGCUAAGGCAGGAGCAUCACAAGUUCAAAGCCAGUCUCAUCAACUUAGCAAGGCCCUACACAACUUUGUGAGACCCUGUCAA